CAAAAACAUCGCCUCUUGCAAAAUUAAUGAAUAAGAGGUCCCGCCUGCCCUGUGACUAUAUGUUUAACGGCCGCGGUAUUCUGACCGUGCGAAGGUAGCGCAAUCACUUGUCUCUUAAAUGGAGACCUGUAUGAAUGGCAUAACGAGGGCUUGACUGUCUCCUUUUUCAAGUCAGUGAAAUUGAUCUUCCCGUGCAGAAGCGGGAAUAACUACAUAAGACGAGAAGACCCUAUGGAGCUUUAGACACUAAAGCAGAUCAUGUCAAACACCCCAGAACAAAGGACCAAACCAAAUGAAUCCUGCCCGAAUGUCUUUGGUUGGGGCGACCAUGGGGAACACAAAACCCCCACGUGGAAUGAGAGUACCUCUCUUACAGCCAAGAGCUCCCACUCUAGCAAGCAGAAUUUCUGACCAAAAAUGAUCCGGCAAAGCCGAUCAACGGACCCAGUUACCCUAGGGAUAACAGCGCAAUCCUCUUUGAGAGCCCAUAUCGACAAGGGGGUUUACGACCUCGAUGUUGGAUCAGGACAUCCUAAUGGUGCAGCCGCUAUUAAGGGUUCGUUUGUUCAACGAUUAAAGUCCUACGUGAUCUGA
rnacentral:rRNA from 1 species